rnacentral:lncRNA from 1 species
CGCUUCUCUGCCUGUCGCUUCUCGCCUGCGCUUCUCUGCCUGCGCUUCUCAUCUCAGCGUUGUGUAAGGCCGAUCCACUAUCAAUUUCACAUUCUCUCUCCUUAUAAAAUUCUGUUGAUACCAUAUUUAGUAAAUUACUUUGUUUUACCUCAGAUUGUUGCCACUGUUUUCAAUUAUUUCGGGGUCCCUUAUUUCUUUUCCCGGGGGCGCGGAUCCGCGGAUCCCUCCGCCCUUCUAGUCACGGAACCGGGCCGAACCAGCCCGUAAACCGUUGACAGGAACCUAAACCUGGGGUAGGGAUCGCUCGUUCUUAACCUGGUGGCUUGAAGUCCAAAGGAUCUCAAGGACCAGCAAUGGGUCGCGUUUGCUCCACGGAGGCUCAAAGGCUGUGGCUGUUCUGCCUGUCAGCUCCAUCCCAACAGCAAUUUGUGGCUGGAGUCACAAUUCUGCACUGAUACGGAGAGUGGUCGUCAUGGACAGAGGGACGCUGAGCAGCUCCAUGGGGAUUGGGAUGCAAGCAGUGUGGAUGCAGUGCCUCUGCCUGCAGGAGAAGAAAAACUGGUGAGAGAGAAAAGGCUUGGUUUGGAUCCAAAGGCAGCCGGGCUGGAGCACGACCUGUGAUUCAGAUGUCACCUUUGCUGAGUGCUGAACGGGGUGAAGAGCCCCCUGUUCCUGCUGCAGGGAGCUUCCCACACCUGUAUCCUUCCAUCCUCCAUUACUUGCCCAAGUCUGGUGGGAUACCCUUCCCCCAGGUAGCAAACCUGAUAGAGCUACAGGGAGGACAGGGUCCCUGCAGUUUCUCUACCAGAAUUAAAAGGCACACGCAGAGCUGUAGCAGCAGGGUGAGGAGGAGAGCAGAGCAGAGGGAACAGAAGCACCAAGCCUUCGUUUCAUCCCACCUGCGCUGCGGUGCUGACUUGCCCCGAAGAGUCGCAGGAAAAUCCUGUGUAAAUGGAACAUAAAUGUUUUAUGAAUUCAACCCUGGUGGAGUAAAUUAAAGGGUCAUUAAUGGCCUCAUUAAAGAGCUUUGCACUUUGUUCUGAAUUAUGAAAGCUGUCGUGCAAUGUUCAACUAAAUGGAGUUUUCGUUGAGAUUUUGAAACUCUUUAACUAGUUUUCUCCCCCUCCUCCAUUCGUUUCUUCCCUUUUUUUUUUGUUGUUGAUGAGAAAUGUCUUUUGAGGGAGCCGCCUGUAGUGCUACAAACUAGAUUUCAAUUAUAAAUCUUCUUAUGCUCCACUAAUUGCCCAGAAUUUUUCUUGAGAGCUGCCUGAGGUUAAUGCUGAUGAAGAAAGAACCCUUUUGUCUUUUCUUGAACUGGGGCCUCCCUCACUGCUUCUGGCAAGACAUCAAGCUGGGAAUUACCUCCAGUGACACCCAGAUGGUACAUGGAAGGGACGACAGAUGAGUUGGUCGCAGCAGCUUCUUGGCUCACCGCGGGCUGGGGAGAAGCCUUCAGAUUCUCCAGGGCUGCCAGCUGACCCUGGCCCAGAAAAGUGUUAGAGUCCAUCUCCUCCAUUUCACUCUUCCGCUCCAAAAGAGUGGCAGUGCACUGGCACAGCUGCCCAGGGAGGUGGUGGAGUCGCUGUCCCCAGAGGUGUUCAAGAACCGUGGGGAUGUGGCACUGAGGGAUGUGGUCAGUGGACGUGGCAGGGGUGAGUCAACAGUUGGACUAGACAAUCUUAGGGAUCUUUUCCAGCAAAAACCUACCCCGUUAAUGCUCGUUUCUUUGACUUGUUGACUUGCCCUCUGCAAAUUCUUUGCACAGUGACACGACAAAUUAAACCCCUUAUUAACUAAUUAAGCUAUUUCUCCAACCAGGCAGGAAGGCGAGAGGAGGUUGUUAUUCUUUCUAUUUUUAAAUACCAGCAAGAGACACAUGUGUCUGAGAUGCGUGGUGGACGGCUCCAGCUGAGCUGUACCGCUGCAGCCUGACACCUCUACAACAAAACCCAUCAGGGCUGGAACUUGCUUGUUUUUCUGUUUAGUUUGUACAUCUGGGAGAAAUUUCGGUGUCCAGAAAGGCUUCCUGAACCUCUGGAUGUUGAAGAACCACGGAGAUGUGGCACUGAGGGAUAUGUGGUUAGUAGGCAUGGUGGGGAUGGGUCGACAGUUGGACUGGAUGAUCUUAGAGAUCUUUUUUAACCUUGAUUCUACGAUUCUUUAAUGGGCCUUGUAGCUCGGGGCAGGCACAGAGCUCAAUAGUGCAGCCUGCGAGCACACGUUUGCUUUGAAGUUGAUGAAGUUUUCUGUCAUUUUAGCAAAAUCAGAGCUGAGCAGCAACCUGCCCUAUACUAGGGAUGUCCUCUUCUGGCCUCCUUGCAGCUCCAUCAUCACUCUUGCUUCUGAGCACGGCACCAUGCACAGACCCGAACACGGGCAGGUGUGACCCUUCCUGGGUCUGUGGGCUGGAAGGGGCUCGGAGCUGUGAUGGUCCACACUUGCAGAGGGUUUGGGGUGAGUGCUGUGGUGGGAGUGCCUGCAGAGUGUGCUGUGGCUUCAGGGAUUGCUGUGUGGCUGGGAGCUGGGAUGGAGGGGUUUGUGAUUUUCCCAUGAGAAGUCCCUAGCUGGUGGCAUGGUGGAAGGGUGGAAGGGUUCUUGGGAGAACACAGCACGGCUGGUGCAGCCCUGGGUGUAGAGAGCGUCAUGUAUUUGUCCUGGUCUGCACAGAUAGGAGAUGAGAGGGCAAAGGGAGCCUGAAGGCUCCUUGGGCAGAGAGAUGGAUGCAGGCACACCUGGGGAACCCCAGAAAUGCUUUGCUGUGCUGUUUUCAGUGAAGUGACUGAUGGGGGCGGAUUGAGGGAGGAGGAUGGAUAUGGGUGGGGAGCAGAUUUAGGAAAUGAUUUCAUCAUUGAUUAAAUGUUCUACGUGCUGAGACUUUGCAGAGGUUGGGGAAAGAGCAGCGAGAGGAUGUCACCAAAAGAUCUCAUUGCCAGCUGAAGGGAAAAGAGAUGGAGCUUGUGAGGUCCUUGGCCAUGCAAAGCCACACUGGGAGAAUGUGGGUGCAGCAGGGACAGCAAAUCCCACCUCACCCAUGCCUGAAAAUCUUUCCCCUAUUUAAUGCAUUACUGCCUGCUUAUUCCUAUAACAAAUAACUGAGUCAGCGGGAGAAAACCAAAUGUAAUUUAUGUCUCAGUCCAAGCAAAUAGCAAAGGCUGCCAAAUCCGACAAUAAAAAAAAACCACAGUGAUCUCAGAUGUUUCUCUCCUCUAUAUUAAGAGGGAGCAGCACAGCGUUUGGCCGUGGUGCCGAUAUGGGGGGACAGGAGCAUGCAGGGGACAGCCUUGUGCAGCACUCUGUGCAGGGUGUGCUGAGGGAUAGAGGCCUGGGAAAGAACACCUCAGCUCUGCACUGCUCCCAGCCCAGCUGUAGGUGCAUAAUGGUACCAAAAAGGCGUUUUGCUGUGCAGUGGCACGGAGCUGAUGUCCCCACCACGUGCCUGUCCUGACAUAAGUGAUAUUGAACCCUUCUGGGUUUCCAGCAGUGCUUGUAGAUGGCUGAGAGGGAUUAAAGGAAAGGUACGUAGGCACUUUGAUUAACUGCUUUCCUAGAAGAAGGCAUUUAGUGAGCACAACUGAGCUAUAAAUACCCUAUAAUGUUGCUCUAAUACAUGAAACAAAAUAGUUGAUGUUGAGCUGGAAUGAGGUUGUAUUGUUUUCUCUGUUCAUCACUGAGCUGUGAAAUUCCAACUUUGUAGGGUGUGCAUUUGGUGCGUGCUGGGUCCAUGUAGAGAGCAGGGGAACAGGGUGCCCAGGGCCAGCUCUCCUUUAGAUGUGUGCUUCGUUCCCUUACUUGCUUUUUGGCCAUACAAACCACAGAACAGCAGAAGGGAGAGGAAAGAAACAUUUUUCCUGGUCUGUGCUAAGAACAAUUUGGUCUCGUUAUAAUCUGAUUUCACCUGUUACUAAUUUUCCUCUGGUUGUGAGGGCUUGGAAUUGUUUGUUUGGUAAAUGAAGAGGGAAGAAGAGCUGUUGGAUGUUGUUCAGUGUGAGGUAAUGAUGGUGAGGGCACUCCAGGUGACAUGAGUGGUGCUGGGGGUGGGAGAAAACUCUGACCCCAUGCAGUGCCCUAUGGGGUUCAGAAUGGGGCAGAGGGCAUCCCCAUUGCCUCCCAUCCCUGCAGCGUGAGUGGGACUCCUUACUCCUUUAUGGAGCUGUGGUGGGGAAAUAGGAAAGCACAGAUGUAUGGGGAAUUCCCAACACGAUGCCAAGUCCCCACCCUCCAGAUCAGUUUGCAUCCCCCCAUUGCUAUCCUUCUUAGUGUAGUAGUCCCGUUGCUGUGACAAAUAGUUUGGGUGAUGUGAGCUGCUGAAAAGAAAUGACUUUAUUAGGCGAAAACAGCCUGUGAACCUCCUGGAACAAGCAGACUGUUUAAGUGACUCCAGAUUGCACGGGAAGGCGGCUGCUCCCCUAAAUCCCACAGCGUGCCUCAGCCGGGCUGCAGCAUUGCAUGGCACAGAGCAUCGCCCUGCACGGCACAGCUACUGCCUGAGGAUGGAGCAAGUGUGAAUAAAUCCUCAGCGCCAGAGCUGUUUUAGCAUGCCUCUAAUUGGAGCCAUAAAGUUAAACCUGGCCACUUAGGGUUCUGCUGGGAACUGGGGCUUCCAUUUGCAGGCUCCCCCGUGCAGCUAAAGGGCACCGUGCUUGCUAAUAGGCGUUAAAUUGGAGCAUCACUUUUUAAUAAGCCUCCUAAUGGCAUGAUGCAGCUCCUUGGCAGCUCUGGGCUGCCUCCAUUACGGUACCCACAUGCUGGGGUGAGUGAUGGAAGGUGGAGGUGGUGCCAGGUACCAGAAGGUUGGAGAUGCACAGAGCCAAGGAUGCACCCAGCUCCUGUGCUCCCCUGUGUACUCCAUCAACUUCGUUGUCAGGACUGCCCCUACCAUCAGACCAACCUCAUCAUUGGGACCAUCCUCUCUGCGAUGGCGAUGUUCCUCCUGUGUGCAUCACCAUCCCUGCUCUUGGGCUGUCAGAGCAAUUCCAGAUUUUGCCUUUCUCCUGCUUGAGACUGAGCAGGAUUUGAAGUGGUGCCCGACUGAGCUCAGCCCUGUCCCUGGCUGC